AGCAGCCGCCGCGGUAAUACGAAGGGGGCUAGCGUUGCUCGGAAUGACUGGGCGUAAAGGGCGCGUAGGCGGAUUGUUUAGUUAGGCGUGAAAUUCCUGGGCUUAACCUGGGGACUGCGCUUAAUACAGGCAGUCUAGAGUGAGGAAGAGGGUUGUGGAAUUCCCAGUGUAGAGGUGAAAUUCGUAGAUAUUGGGAAGAACACCGGUGGCGAAGGCGGCAACCUGGUCCUUGACUGACGCUGAGGCGCGAAAGCGUGGGGAGCAAACCGGAUUAGAUACCCGGGUAGUCCCUGUCUCUUAUAC
rnacentral:rRNA from 1 species